ensembl:snoRNA
ACGCGCUGCCUUUGAGCCCCGUGGCACCUGCGCUUGGGGGGUGAGCUGCAGCGCCAGAGCACGUGCUCACGCAUAACUGGGGCCGCCUGCCGAUCGUGGGCGGUCCUUUUAGCCGCGAGCGACAGGA